rnacentral:tRNA from 1 species
GGAGACGUGGCCGAGUGGCUGAAGGCGGCGGUUUGCUAAACCGUUAUACUGGUGUUAGCCGGUAUCCAGGGUUCGAAUCCCUGCGUCUCCGCCA